rnacentral:rRNA from 1 species
GAUGAACGCUGGCGGCGUGCUUAACACAUGCAAGUCGAACGAUGAAGCCCAGCCUGCUGGGCGGAUUAGUGGCGAACGGGUGAGUAACACGUGAGUAACCUGCCCUUGACUCUGGGAUAAGCCCGGGAAACUGGGUCUAAUACCGGAUAGGAGCGCCUGUCGCAUGACGGGUGCUGGAAAGAUUUUUCGGUCAUGGAUGGACUCGCGGCCUAUCAGCUUGUUGGUGAGGUAACGGCUCACCAAGGCGACGACGGGUAGCCGGCCUGAGAGGGUGACCGGCCACACUGGGACUGAGACACGGCCCAGACUCCUACGGGAGGCAGCAGUGGGGAAUAUUGCACAAUGGGCGGAAGCCUGAUGCAGCGACGCCGCGUGAGGGAUGACGGCCUUCGGGUUGUAAACCUCUUUCAGUAGGGAAGAAGCGAAAGUGACGUACCUGCAGAA